AGAGUUGAUAUGGCUCAGGACGAGCGCUGGCGGCGUGCCUAACACAUGCAAGUCGAACGGAGAUACGAUUCGGUUGUAUCUUAGUGGCGAACGGGUGAGUAACGCGUGAGCAACCUGACUCUUAGAGGGGGAUAACACUGGGAAACGAGUGCUAAUACCGCAUAAGCCAUAAGGAGCUGCAUGGCUCUGAUGGCAAAGAUUUAUCGCUAUAGGAUGGACCUGCGUUGGAUUAGCUAGUUGGUGAGAUAACAGCUCACCAAGGCGACGAUCCAUAGCCGGCCUGAGAGGGUGAACGGCCACAUUGGGACUGAGACACGGCCCAAACUCCUACGGGAGGCAGCAGUGGGGAAUAUUGCACAAUGGGCGCAAGCCUGAUGCAGCGACGCCGCGUGAAGGAAGAAGGUCUUCGGAUUGUAAACUUCUAUCAGCAGGGAAGAAUAAAUGACGGUACCUGACUAAGAAGCCCCGGCUAACUACGUGCCAGCCGCCGC
rnacentral:rRNA from 1 species